UCAUUCUUAACCCUAGGCCUCCUUUUUCCAGUCUUGUUACAUUUUCCCAACUUACCAUGUGCAUUUUCUUCAAGUUGUCAUUUACCGCCCAAAGGACAUUUCGAUUUAUGAGGUCCAAUUAAUCCCAAAUACUGGCAGGAAGCGGUUGGGAUUAAAACUUCAUUGAAUGCUUGUUUUGCUCUUCCUACUUGGUCUUAUACAAUAAAAAACACAAAAAAUUAAAAACAAAAAAAAAAAAAGGCUUGAAACUAAAUAUAAAAAAUUCCAAGGAACUCAAAACUAAACAUACAAUCCAAUAAAAACACUUAGACC
rnacentral:lncRNA from 1 species